rnacentral:rRNA from 1 species
UACAGAGGGUGCGAGCGUUGUCCGGAAUCACUGGGCGUAAAGGGCGCGUAGGUGGCGGCCCAAGUCCAUGGUGAAAGCUCGAUGCUCAACAUCGAGUCGGCCACGGAUACUGGGUUGCUCGAGCACUGUAGGGGCAGAUGGAAUUCCGGGUGUAGCGGUGGAAUGCGUAGAGAUCCGGAAGAACACCGGUGGCGAAGGCGGUCUGCUGGGCAGUUACUGACACUGAGGCGCGACAGCGUGGGGAGCAAACAGG